AUUGUUUUGUUAAAUUUGAUUGUUGUGAGCAGUUUUAUCCCUGUCAUUGUUGUCAUAACAAUCAAAGUGCGUGUGGCAACAAGAAGCUUAAAUCACGUGAUGCAGUAGAUGUGACAUGUGCUUAUUGUAGCAACGUACAAAAGGUAAUAUAUUUUCAUGCUGUAAAAUAACACAAAAAACUACUCUAAACAUACGAGAAUAGUUAAAUGAAAUUUGUUUGUUAUGGUCGUAAAAACAUUUCAUUUAAUUUUUCCUAUUCUCAUUUGAAAUUCGCUAGUUUGGUGAAAAGUGCACGAAUUGUGGUGUUAAAUUUGCCGAAUAUUUCUGCGCUUUAAGUAAACACCUUACUGGCAAAGACGACCAUCCUUAUCAUUGCGAGAAAUGUGGAAUUUGCAGAGUUCACGGAGAUCGUUCUUUUCAUUGCGAUGUUUGUAAACUUUACAACUGCGUGGUAAUCAUAAAUGUAGAGAAAACUCCGCACAUGAUGAAUGUUGUAUAUGUUUAGAGGAUGCUUUCACAGGUUGUCAAAUAUUACCAUGUUCUCAUAAAGUUCAUUAAGAAUGCGCCAAUGAAAUGAUUCGAAGAGUAAUAACACGCUGUCCCAUUUGUCGUGAAAGUUUUGCUCAUAAACUUGAAAAGAAAACUCCAUCGAAGAGACGUCACGGUGGAAGACAUAAAUGACAAGCAGCCA